UACGUAGGGACCAAGCGUUGUUCGGAUUUACUGGGCGUAAAGGGCGCGUAGGCGGUGCGGUAAGUCACUUGUGAAAUCUCCGAGCUUAACUCGGAAAGGUCAACUGAUACUGCGGGGCUAGAGUGCGGAAGGGGCAACUGGAAUUCUUGGUGUAGCGGUGAAAUGCGUAGAUAUCAAGAGGAACACCUGCGGCGAAGGCGGGUUGCUGGGCCGACACUGACGCUGAGGCGCGAAAGCUAGGGGAGCGAACGGG
rnacentral:rRNA from 1 species